GGACAGUUCAGUAGCAUAUCAGGUUUAUAACUGCUAGGAACAAUUCAGCCAAACAAAGGCCUAAAAGUUUCUAUUUGCUACAUCCAUGGUGAGCAGAAACGCAUCUCAGAAGGCACAACACAUUGAACCUUGAGGUGGAUGAGUUACAACAGCAGAAGACCACAUUGGGUUCCACUCCUGUCAGCCAAGAACAGGAAGCUGAGGCUACAGUGGGCACAGGCUCACCCAAACUUGGCAGUUGGAAAAGCUGCAAAAACAUUGCCUGGACUUUUUCCAAACUUUAACCUUUUUUUUUUUUUUCCUGCUGUGAGCUUAUUUCUGUGGUGUGUGUUAUGUGUGCUAUGCAUGCAUUAGAUUACUUAUAUGUAUGAAUUAAAGUAUAUUGCCAUUCAAAGAAAAUAAGUCAUCUAGACUCAAAUCCUAUAAUCCAAAUCUAAUCCUAUUUAUGGAAACUUGGUUUUAACUGCUUUGGUAAAUGUAUAAUAUUACUUUAAAUACUAAUUUUAGCUACUUAAAAGCAGUGUAUAUGAUAUUUUGAGUUUUGGUUUUGGGCUGGUUUUGGAAAUAAUUUUAUAGACCAUUGGUCUGCUUUUGUCACACAGACCUGCUAACCCAGGACACCAAAGCAGCCAACUUCAUUUAUAAAUGCAAGCCUAAUUACUACUAAGCCCAUCGCGUGGUUGUUGAUACAGAUAAUCACCUUUAAAACUCACACAUUUUCAUGAUUUAAGGUUGCAUAUUAUUUAAUGACAUCAGAUUAUGUUGAUGUGUUGACCUCACUGAGUGGUCUGUGUAGUCAAUAAUGACAUACAGACAAUAAUGACAGACAGUGUAUGUCAUAUUCAUCAUUUUAUUUUUAUUUUUAAAAAAAAAAAGCUAAUGGAAUGUUGUUGUUUUUUCUUUUUUGCAUUUCUGGCCUAACUGUGAUCUAUGGACUUGGACCAGCUAAAUGUGAAUUAGGUGAAUUACAAACAUGAUGCAAACAGAUGAAGAUUAAGUACAUCCUCUUUAGCAAAAUGCUAUGAUGGAAACCAAACUCCAACUGAAUAUCUGUAGGUCUACAGGCAUAGCUGGAAUAACUGAGAGCACAGGUUGUUCUCAGUCCUUUUUGUGGAGGACAAUGAGUCCUUAGUAAAUCACUCAGCACACUAAAUGCACACCCUCUCAAUACUGGGUUAUUACCUGCACAACCAACUUUGAGGACAAUCUAAGCUCGUCUGGGAGAGCAUAUCUAUCAGCUGUCUGUUUAUUGUUUUUUUUCCGUCUGCAUUGUUUACUGGGAAAUAAACAAAGAUACAAAAUGUUAUAUUUGCUUCGUAUGUUUAUAUUAACGCUAGGCUUGAGAUGCCCUGUGGCCACACAUUUUACUACACACCUUCUGCAUUUACAUCCUGAAGAUUCCCAC
ensembl:lncRNA